rnacentral:rRNA from 1 species
GUGGAUUAGAUACCCUAGUAGUCCACGCUGUAAACGAUGAGCACUGGGUGUAGCGGGUACUCAUUCCUGCUGUGCCGCAGCUAACGCGUUAAGUGCUCCGCCUGGGGAUUACGGUCGCAAGACUAAAACUCAAAGGAAUUGACGGGGGCCCGCACAAGCGGUGGAGUAUGUGGUUUAAUUCGACGCAACGCGAAGAACCUUACCUGGGCUUGACAUCCCCGGCCAACCCUGGAAACAGGGCCUUCCCCUUCGGGGGAUCGGGUGACAGGUGCUGCACGGCCGUCGACAGCU